UACGUAGGCAGCGAGCGUUGUUCGGAGUUACUGGGCGUAAAGGGUGUGUAGGCGGUUCUUUAAGUUUGGUGUGAAAUCUCCCGGCUCAACUGGGAGGGUGCGCCGGAAACUGGAAUGCUUGAGCGUGGGAGAGGAAAGCGGAAUUCCUGGUGUAGCGGUGAAAUGCGUAGAUAUCAGGAGGAACACCUGCGGUGUAGACGGCUUUCUGGACCAUUGCUGACGCUGAGACACGAAAGCGUGGGUAGCAAACAGG
rnacentral:rRNA from 1 species